AGUUGUGGAUACAAGUGAUCAUGCGUUGAGCGUUUGGAAUAAUGGAGGUUGGUUUUAUAUAUGCACUCACCUCGAUGUGCAAACACUGCUGUUGGGAAAAGUUCAUACAUAAACAUGCAUACACAUCUUCACACAGUCAUGUGUCAAAACCAGGCCUUGUUUGUGUGCAGGGAUGACACGCUGAUUUUCAUGUGUUAGCAUUACUCGAGUUAUUUGUUAUUUUAAGAUAGACGUAACUUUUAAUUGCACAGUGCAUUUUCAUACUACUUUUGUAUCUUAUAUACUAAUGAGUUAAGGAAAUGUAACUUCUUAUUUCAUGCUUCUAUUUUUAAAAUGUUUAAAAUAAAAUUAUAAGCCUUCUUUCAUCAUUCUCUUAAUCAGUGUGACUGCAGAGGUUUUAUGUGAAGUAAUAUUGAAAAAAAAUCUUACUGACAUGUACUUACAACUGUGGAUAUCCUCAUUUGGGUUAAGAAGAUUCACAUCCAUAAGCAUUUAGAGUUGGUGGUGUAGUACAGGUCCUUAGGAGAGCAACUUGGCAGCUGACCGUUGAACGGCACCUUUCUGCUGUAAAUAAUUUCUGAUUUUGCUAUAAAUGAAAAAGAUUCUGUGUGCCUGCUAGGUGACAUUUUCUCUUUUUUUCUUUCAGCCUGUUUACAUGAUGUUUUUCACAGCACUUUGUGUUAAGGUAUUAAUGCUUACAAAUCUUCGGGCUCCACAAAAAGGUCGUUUCUAGUAACAGCAAAACCAAGGCUGCAAAUGAACCUGGGUUUGGAGGAAGAAUAGUCUGAGGUAUGUUUACUGUUACUGGAGAUAUGGACUGGGCCAGGCACGGAGUAAAAAGCACCUUUCUGAUAGACUUAAGAGAGGUAUAAGAACUUUUAAGUAAGUAUCAGAAAAGCAAGAGUAAUUAAAAUGGAAUAAUUUGAAAGUUUCUUUUAAAGUCUUAGCUUAGAUUCUCUGGGUGGCUUCUUUAAGUUCUCACAGUGAAUAAACUGAUAAAAAAAUGAUACAAGCAUAUAUUCUAGACUGCAGUUUAAAAUGUCCGUUAUUUCUGUUUUCUUUUCCUUGGAUCUUUGUGAUGAUGUUCUUGGUUGUAACAGAUAUGUACAGGAAAGGUUUAUAUGAUUAUGCAGUAACAGACAUGUGUUGAGUUUAUAAAACCACUUCAGUUACUACUUUUCAUUUCAUUCUGGUUAGGAAAAAGACCUUAUGCCUGCUUUUGCAAGCUGGCAGAUGUACUGAUUGUAUCUGUGGAUGGUCUUGAGCAAGUACACCCCAAAUUUUUUUGGAUUUCUGAAGCUUCCCUUUUUGCCUCUCUCCUCUUCUAAUCCAUUUAACUCAAGUAUUAGAAGCCAGAGGGUGACCACAUAUGGUUUGUAUCAUUGCAUACUUUAUUAUAUAUAUUUCAACCUUAUAAAUACAAUUUCGUUUUAAUCUUAACUGAAUAGCCUACCUGCAUGCACCCUUGCAAAUGAAUCUCAUGCAUUUAUAGGGGCUUGGGUAGAUUAAGCCAUUGUCUAUGUAGCUAAGAACACUUGAUUUUUCCUUUAGGAUAUUUGUUACCCAAAAUGCUGUUUUCCAUCACCUCACUGGUGGCACGGGAACACCUUCAUUUUCAAACAGUGAUUGUGCAACAGUAAGAAAUGUAAGGCUAGAUCAAUUAAAGGUGUUAGAGCCUAGAGAGAAGAAAUACAAGUGGACUUUCGCAAAAGUGCAUAGCUGCAUCGUUCUUACUGUAAUUACUGACUUGUUAGGUUCCUAGUUCUUUGGAGCUGUGUAUUUAGAGCUUGCUUACUUCAAAAAUCUGUCUCUUGGAUCCUCUCAGAAAUGCAGUUAUUCAGGGAACAAGCUUUGAAUUCAUGGUUAUUUCUGGAUUUUAUAUGGUGUCGCUGCUCAAAACUUGUUUGUGCAGCAGGACUAUUAUAGAAUUUUCCCUUUUGCAAACCUUAUGGGUGCUUUACAUGAUGCUGUGGCAUCCAGGCUGUAUUGUUACUGUAUGUCUCUGUUAUCUCUGUACUUUAAGCCCAAGGUCAUCUUCCCAGUCUGUGUUUAUCAAUAAUCCACCUGCACCCAGAUGCCUGGUGGAGUUGUGCUCUGACAUGCUCUGGAACAACAAAACUGAUUUCCUAAAUCAGGUUUGCAGCGGGGGGGGGAAGCUGGAAAUUGAGAGAGAGUAAAAUUAGCAGUUUGCAAGUUGUGGCUGCGGCUUUCUCUUUGCUUCUGAGCAGCAUUAGCAUACCUUUCUGUUAAAAGUAAUAAAUAUUUAAGGCUCUGUUCUGUUCUGAAGCUGCCAUUGAAACACAGAAACAAUUUCUUUGGCUUUUUUUUUUGUGUGUGUGUGUGUGUUUGUUACAUUGGGGUUUUUUCAUUUUCAGAGCUUCUUUAACUCCUGUGAAAUAUGCGUAAAUCUGAGACUGGCUAAAGCCCUCAAUGCAGAGCUCACACUAAAAAAUGCAUGUUUGCCUUAAAGAGAAAUAACUGUUUAUUCCAAACCAGUCAGCUUUGGUUGUUUUUUUUUUUUAAUGGAUCAUCUGGUUUAUUUGGUCUGUGCUGUUUGCUGGUAGUGAAACGGUCCUUUCCUAGCCAAACGCUUUCUAAUGUGUACAGACUAUUGUUUCCAUUAUUCUUUACUUCAAAAUAGUUAACGAUAUUUGUUUAGCGAACUUUUGUGUUUAAACACACAUCAAAAGCUAGCCCAGCCUUUUACAUAUUUAUUUAUAAAGAGGAAGCAGGCUGAUGUAAAAUCUCCCUUGCCCAGUGUUGAUCGGUAGGGAGGUUUUAGCUAUCGUACGAGUUAUUUCGAGUAAUAAGCUUUGUGCUAGUUCUGAUGUUAUCUGUCAGGUUGUGGUUCUGCAUACCAGGGUCUAGAGCGUGUGGUACUGUGUUAUGACAAUUGCAUACCCAUCUUUCUGUGUUAUGUCUGACUUGAAUAAUUUCAAGAGCACCUGUUUCUAACAAAAAAGCAAAAUUUUCAGAACCAAACCUUUCCUUGCUACAGAAAGCCUUGACCAAGUGAGGUGUUAAGUAGCCUUCUGAAGGCGUUUAUUUUGUCAGUAAUUUCCCUCUCGCUGCUCUGCGUGUGGGCCACAUUGGCUGAGUUUUAAUUGACAUUUUUAUAUCAUAAACCCAUUGGCUUUUGACUCGAAGAUGGAUUCAUUUUAAGGAAGAAGAGGGAGGAGAUAUUUUUUUGUUUACAGUUAGAAUAGGAAGGAUAUAAAAUACAGACUGUUCCAGAUCGCACAGUGUGAGUAGUUACCUCCUUGCCUGUAUCGGUAUCUAAUAAAAGGUUUCAUACUGUAUUAAAAGACUCAAAUGUAGGCCUGAGCAAACAGAGUUAAUAGUAGCAAGAGUCUUUUAGCCAGCAGUGGGAAGUGUGGGUUGGCCUCAGAAAUUAGCUUUAAUAAAAGGCACUCCUCACUGCUUUGCUUUCUGCUUUUUUCUUCUCUAACAAGCAUUAACUAGCAUCCAAAGCCCUAUGUGAACGAGAAGAUCUGGGACGGGGGAAUAGCAGCACGCUGAACCUUUCAUCAAAGGGAUAUCAAAGCAUUCUGCAGCCGAACCUGGGAGGGAUAUGAAUAUGCUUAUUUUGAUAGUUGGGGCAGCACCGAGGAGAAACUGGUUGAAACAAUUUGCACAUCACAGGGAAGGUGCUCACUGGAAGAUCCGGGCUGGAACUCUGGUCCGACGCCCUGUCUGAUACCACAUCGCUCCGCUGCUGCCGCCCCAGCGCUCGGUAAGCAGUCUGCUGAAAGCCUGGCCGGUGGCCCGCGGAACCUUCGCCGCUUUCCUCCUCCUCACCCCCAGAAAUCAGAACUAAUUGUUGCACAGCUAUUUUACUGCUUUUUUCCGAUGUGGGGGACCAGUAGCUAACCUUUAAAAGCAAACUCUGUGCGUGCUGCAAUCACAAUGGCCCCUGGUGUCAACGCUGAAAAAGAGGAAGCUGAAAAAUUCUUGAAUGUACUUAAAUACUCUUGCUCCGUUUGGAAGGGGAGGGGGAGCUUGCGCAAUCACUUCCAUCUUGCGGGGAGGAAAAGGCCGAGUUUGGGACUUCCCUUGUCAGGACUUCUCAUCUUUGCAUAGAGUGAUAAAGCCAUCAGGGCUGUGCCCUGUGACUCGUUCCAGAGGGAGCCUGCGAACAGCAGGGCAGGGUAGCUGAGGAGGCAAGGCCCAGGUCAGCCUGAUGGCGGGGCUGGCAGGUGACAUCCUGAGCCCUUCGUCUUCAAGGGGCAGUGCGGAGGGGAGCACAGGCUCCUGUGCUUUCCAGCUUGACCAAAAGCUGAUUAGUAAAUGUUAACUCUUGCUGUGCAGGUGUGUAGCUGGUGUGAGGGCAAGGGUUGUUUCUGUGGAAAGGAAAACAGCUUCAUCAGCAAACUCACCUGAUGCUGGUCUCAUGUUUAGGCCCUAAGCUGGUUUAUGUUCCUUGCUGAAGGAGCCUUUGGAGGUAGGAGCGCUAGCCGGCUGUCGUUGGCUCCCAUGAGCAAUGCAGGAACAGCUGUUCCCGAGGCUGCCUUUCCCCCAGUGACAGGAAUAUGUUGGCGUUACGGCUGAGGGAACGUGCAGGAUCAGCACCUUUUCGCUCGUUACCUCUACAUGAGAUGGGCCUUUUCCACGCGGAGGUGCAGAGGCUUUGAUGUGGCUGGAUGCAGCGUGAGUUGAACCAAGCCCAGAUUCGACGGCUUCAAUCAGCUUUAGGUAGAGCGAGGCUGAGGGUGCUAAGGAGAGUAAUUUUAUUUUAUUUUAUUUUAUUUUUUAAAACUCCUCUGUCUAAACGGCAGCUCGGGAAACAUGCAUUUUUCUGUUCUUAGACGAGUAAGGAUCUAAAGAACAAACACACACUAGCAGCAGGAAACUUCUCCUGACUAAACGGAAUGUAUCUUCCCAGAGUAGUAAACUGUGAACUGGCAAAGUAUAAUUUCCACAAAAAUAAAUGUGCCUUGGUGUUCUAAUGGGAAAGCCUUAAACUUUGCGUUUCUGUUUAUUUUCAUGACAAUGGAAAACACUUCAUACACCGGCCCCUGGCUUGGUGGUGGUUCUGGCCUUCGGAAGCCUGUUUUUGUGUAAAUUUUCAAGCUACCACUGCAAUAUGAGGAUAUAACUUAAAAAUACCAUUACAGCAAUUUCACAGAAUUCUCUUCAUCCCCCACCCCGUACAACUUGUGCGGCUCUACUUUCGGAACAUGGUGAGGUGGCCAUCAAAUGAGUCGUAUAGGAAAACCAGGCUGUGUACAGAGAAACUGCCGUAGCAGAACCUCCGCGUGCUCAACACGGUACUUUGGAGCACAGGGAAGGCUGGAAAUGAAUACAGGAACGCUGCACCCAGGGCUUCGACAAGUUUUGAAGCUUGAGGGCCCCAAGUUUUGCUCCACACUGGGCCUGCAGAGAUCUGCACAGCUUUGUCACUGCAUUAAAUGAUUGAGUCUGUCAGUAGAAUUUGCCUCGGUAGGGUUCAUGGUAGCUUGUCAAGUACAGGUUCCCAGGACUAGCAAAAGCCCCAGUUUAGUUUUUCUUUUUGUUUAAUAGAAGGCAGACUCAGAUUUAUUCCCACAAAUUCAGGUAUAAAUGUUUCAGACGUUGAGAAGAGGUGACUGGUUUCUGUGUUGCUGAACUUGAGACCUACGUGACCGGCAGAUCUCUGGAAGAUGGUUAGUUCAGCAUUGGAAGUAUGGAAAAGCGCCCAGUGAACAGCCUCGCUUUGUGCUUCUGAGGCAGGUGGAAGAUUUCAUUAUCUUUAAGUGGCUUUUUUCGACACAAUGUGUUUGCUUUAUUGCAGUUUGUAGAAGCUGGGGAACAAAGGGAAAGAAAUACUGGUGGGAUUUGUUUGAGGAGGAAUUAUGAAGUGGGCCCGUGAAGCUAAUCUUGUUGCCUUCCCAUUUAGCAGGGGGUAAAGAGAUGAUUCUCUGGUAUCGAAGUUAUGCAGCAUGGGGCUGUGAUGAGUCAGAGCAGUCCCCUUUGCAAGGCAGCAUCGCGCCAAGCUAGAAAUCUCCUUUUAAAGCAAGUUUGAAAUAAAAAGUAACACUAAAUAAUUAUUUUUUAUACAGCUGUAAAGAAGACAGAACAGCGUUAUUAUGGCUGGUGCUCAGAGGAUUUUUGUGUCCAGACGGUAACACAAGGGGAAUCUUGGCUCUUUUUGAACACGGGGCGUUUGAAGCGCGCUCAGGAGGGGGGAGUGCCACCUGGCAGCCCUCGUGGCAAAACACCUUCCUGGUAUCACAGAGCCAGCCACGCUGGGAUGGGCGACACGGGCUUCCCCACGUCACCCUGCCGCAGCUCGGCCCGGGGGGAACUGCUGCGGGCCCUUCUCUCUCAGCUGGCAGCAAGGUGCUGGUACGUGCCCGGCGUGCUGCGGAAACGCAGCGACACUUCCGCCACCAGCUAACGCAUCGCGCCCGGACAGCAGCAACGUAAGUACAGGGAGCCUUCGGAGCCAGCCAGCUGCCUUCCUCUUCUUCCUUGUUUCUCCACGAAGAAUGCAGAAGGGUCACAGCCCUUCUAGCAGGUUAAGCCACUGUUUUAAAGCAUCUGCAGAACUUUGGGUUUGUUUUUUUAAGUAAUUCCCUGACGCAAAGCCUCCCUAACAAGGCCAAGAACCAGAUUCUCAGACUCGCUACAAAUCUCAAAAGCGAGAAAAGCUUCACCCGCUCCCAGAGACUGUUCUGGUCAUGGCAAGCAUGCGAGUUUUUGGAGACAAGGAAAA